rnacentral:rRNA from 1 species
GACGAACGCUGGCGGCGUGCUUAACACAUGCAAGUCGAACGGAAAGGCCCUGCUUUUGUGGGGUGCUCGAGUGGCGAAGGGGUGAGUAAAACGUGAGUAACCUCCCCUUGACUUUGGGAUAACUUCAGGAAACUGGGGCUAAAACCGGAUAGGAGAUCCUGCACCAUGGUGGGGGUUGGAAAGUUUCGGCGGUGGGGGCUGGACUCGCGGCUUAUCAGCUUGUUGGUGGGGUAGUGGCUUACCAGGGCUUUGACGGGUAGCCGGCCUGAGAGGGUGACCGGCCACAUUGGGCCUGAGGUACGGACCAGUCUCCUACGGGAGGCAGCGGGGGAGAAUAUUGCACAAUGGGCGGAAGCCUGAUGCAGCAGCGCCGCGUGCGGGAUGACGGCCUUCGGGUUGUAAACCGCUUUCGCCUGUGACGAAGCGUGAGUGACGGUAAUGGGUAAAGAAGCACCGGCUAACUACGUG